rnacentral:snRNA from 1 species
UAGCCUAACUCUGGGCCGAAACAUUCAAUUACCUCAAACUUGGGGUAAUUAAACC